UACGGAGGAUGCAAGCGUUAUCCGGAAUGAUUGGGCGUAAAGCGUCUGCAGGUGGCUGUUCAAGUCUGCUGUCAAAGACCGGGGCUUAACUUCGGAAAGGCAGUGGAAACUGAACAGCUAGAGUAUGGUAGGGGCAGAGGGAAUUCCUGGUGUAGCGGUGAAAUGCGUAGAGAUCAGGAAGAACAUCGGUGGCGAAGGCGGAUCUCUGGGCCUUACCUGACGCUGAGGAGCGAAAGCAUGGGGAGCGAACAGG
rnacentral:rRNA from 1 species